AUUGAACGCUGGCGGCAUGCUUUACACAUGCAAGUCGAACGGCAGCGCGGGCUUCGGCCCGGCGGCGAGUGGCGAACGGGUGAGUAAUACAUCGGAACGUGCCCAGUAGUGGGGGAUAGCUCGGCGAAAGCCGGAUUAAUACCGCAUACGACCUGAGGGUGAAAGCGGGGGAUCUUCGGACCUCGCGCUAUUGGAGCGGCCGAUGGCAGAUUAGCUAGUUGGUGGGGUAAAGGCCUACCAAGGCGACGAUCUGUAGCUGGUCUGAGAGGACGACCAGCCACACUGGGACUGAGACACGGCCCAGACUCCUACGGGAGGCAGCAGUGGGGAAUUUUGGACAAUGGGCGAAAGCCUGAUCCAGCAAUGCCGCGUGUGUGAUGAAGGCCUUCGGGUUGUAAAGCACUUUUGGCGGGAACGAAAAGGACUGUGCCAAUACCACGGUUCGAUGACG
rnacentral:rRNA from 1 species